UACGUAGGGUGCAAGCGUUGUCCGGAAUCAUUGGGCGUAAAGCGCGCGUAGGUGGCUUCGUAAGUCCGUUGUGAAAGUCAAAGGCUCAACCUUUGAAUGCCGAUGGAUACUGCGAAGCUAGAGUACGGAAGAGGCGAGUGGAAUUCCUGGUGUAGCGGUGGAAUGCGCAGAUAUCAGGAGGAACACCAAUAGCGAAAGGCAGCUCGCUGGGACGUUACUGACACUAAGGCGCGAAAGCGUGGGGAGCAAACAGG
rnacentral:rRNA from 1 species